UCCCGGCCUGAGGCGCGGGGAUGCGCGGGAGGGGCCCGGGCUCCCACCGUCUGCUCCGUGUUCCGCAGAGUACCUGAAAAACUCCGCCACGCGUCAAGGUCACCGGAAAUUUGGAAGACACCCCAACCUCCAUCCACCACCAUCCUGACCAGUCAGCAGACGCCAACAUCGAGGCAAGAGCCUGCACCAGCAGAGAUCACGAUGCGCUGAAGGCUCAGAUGAUGGAUAGUAUCUCUACUGAGGAACUGAUAAUGAGGACGCUGACUCCACUCUGUGCUGCUCUCAUAGACCACCUGAAGUUUUCUGUUCUCCUAGUGAAGAACCAGUUAUUCCUUCUGAUAUAGAAGCAUAUUUAACAGAACUUUUACCUAAAAACACUCAAGUACAAUUUCCAAAUGAUAAAAAGUGGAAAGGCCUAACCAUAAUAACUGGGACAGAUGAUUCAUACCCUUUGAGUCCUGUAUUAGAUUAUACCGAAGGUGAAGCUAAACAGUUAAAAAAGUCGUGCAUGUUUUCAAGAAAGCAGAAAGCCCUUCUCAACCUUCUUAGAUAUAGAUAACACGUAAUCAUCUGGUUCUCUGUGUAAAAAGAAAAAACAGGAUGGGGCUGCAGCUGUUACUUUAACCACAGAUAAGUCGUAAGUUAUGUAGCAAGGCUAAAUAUAGUCCUAAUAAAAUUAACGAGAUUUCAUAGACCUAAAUGUAAAGUGUUAAACUAUAGAACUUCUAGAAGAAAGCAAAUGACAAAAGUCUUUUUGACCUUGGGCUAGGCAGGGAUUUCUUGGAGAAGACACCAAAACCACAACCUGCCAAUGAAAAAGAAAAAAAAAAAAAAAAA